GGGGCUAUAGCUCAGCUGGGAGAGCGCCUGCCUUGCACGCAGGAGGUCAGGGGUUCGAUCCCCCUUGGCUCCACCA
rnacentral:tRNA from 51 species